rnacentral:rRNA from 1 species
CACCGCCCGUCACAUCACGAAAGUGGGCUGUACUAGAAGUGGCUGAGCUAACCCGCAAGGGUGGCAGGUUACGACGGUAUGGUUCAUGAUUGGGGUG